GACGAACGCUGGCGGCGUGCUUAACACAUGCAAGUCGAACGAAGUGGCGAACGGGUGAGUAACGCGUAAUCAACCUGCCCUUAAGUGGGGGACAACAGUUGGAAACGACUGCUAAUACUGCUUACUGAAGUAGGGGAUUGCGUCGGAUUAGCUAGUUGGAGGGGUAACGGCCCACCAAGGCGAUGAUCAGUAGCCGGGCUGGGAGGAUGAACGGCCACAUUGGGACUGGGACACGGCCCAGAAUCCUACGGGAGGCAGCAGUGGGGAAUCUUCCGCAAUGGACGAAAGUCUGACGGAGCAACGCCGCGUGAGUGAUGACGGCCUUCGGGUUGUAAAGCUCUGUUAAGCGGGACGCGGUACCGGAAUAGAAAGCCACGGCUAACUACGUGCCAGCAGCCGCGGUAAUAC
rnacentral:rRNA from 1 species